UCUGUGAAGGACAGUGUAGGAGCUUAUUGCUUCUGAGGUGAGAUCUGUGAAGGACAGUGUUGGAGCUUAUCAACUCUGAGGUGAGAUCUAUGAAGGACAGUGUUGGAGCUUAUCAACUCUGAGGUGAGAUCUGUGAAGGACAGUGUUGGAGCUUAUCAACUCUGAGGUGAGAUCUGUGAAGGACAGUGUAGGAGCUUAUUGCCUCCGAGGUGAGAUCUGUGAAGGACAGGCAGUGCAGGGGCCUGGAGCUCAUCUGUGAAGGACAGUGUAGGAGCUUAUCAACUCUGAGGUGAGAUCUGUGAAGGACAGUGUAGGAGCUUAUUGCCUCCGAGGUGAGAUCUGUGAAGGACAGUGUAGGAGCUCAUCGCCUCUGAGAUGAGAUCUGUGAAGGACAGCGUAUGCGCUCAUCAUCUCCGAGGUGAGGUCUAUGAUCUUACCCAAUCAACUUGUGGAGCAGUACGGUUGGGGGUAAGACAGCUGUGACAUCACCUCCACAAACCGUGCAUCACGUUACAACCAGCCAAUCGGCAGCAGGCCAAAGGCAGCACAGGUUGCUGGUAGUACUGCCCCUACGCAGCGAUUAGCGAUGCUGCACCUGCCCUAUAUCAGUGCCAUUAUCCCUCGUUAGAUUUUCAGAUCCUAAAUGUCUCAAAGGCAGAGGCGGGGAGUUUGGAUUUGCUAUAAGCUCUGAUACAUCAAAACCUAUUGCAGUCUUAUGCCCUAUUCAAGCCGGAUUAGUUUCACAGAGGGAGGCUGUGUGAUUUCAGUGAUUACCCACAGGAUGCCUGAUUUUAAUUCAGUGUGAAUCUGCAGCGUCUACUUUUUUAGUCCUGAAUGUUAAAACACGGGAGCGAAUUGUCUUACACCUCCGAGGUCCUUCAGUGAUAUCGGUCCAGUUCCGGUCCUGCAGUGAUGUCAUUACGUAUGGAAAGUGUUUGCCUGUGUUGUUUUGGGGGACAGGGAAUCGGAUUUGAACUAGCCGCUUGCAAGCAAGUUCAGUCAAUUGAAUUGAUCCAUCCAUUAUGUAUUUUCUAAUAUUUCUUUUUGGUAAGUUUCAACAUGAGCCGUUUGAUCAGACCAGACAAAUAUAAUCUGAUCUAAUGAGUAAUGCUUUAGCUCAAAACUGCACCUUCAAAUCCUUGUGCUUUCACAUCCUGGUCAGUUCUGAGGAUCCCUUAAUGACUUCUGAAGUUUGAAUCAACUGCCAAUUUGAUUUUAUGUUGAACUGAUGUUACAGUAAUAUAUGUUAAGAUUUAUUUUAUUUAUUAGUAUUUAUUUUCGACGAAAGUACGGCAGGGUGCAAAGUCAGAGGACAGUGGUUUUAUGGUUCAGCCAGUGAUAAUAUUUUCCUAUCCCUGGAUUCAGUUGUUUCUGUAUGAACUGCUAAGGAAUAUU